rnacentral:rRNA from 1 species
GACGAACGCUGGCGGCGUGCCUAAUACAUGCAAGUAGAACGCUGAAGAGAGGAGCUUGCUCUUCUUGGAUGAGUUGCGAACGGGUGAGUAACGCGUAGGUAACCUGCCUUGUAGCGGGGGAUAACUAUUGGAAACGAUAGCUAAUACCGCAUAACAAUGGAUGACACAUGUCAUUUAUUUGAAAGGAGCAAUUGCUCCACUACAAGAUGGACCUGCGUUGUAUUAGCUAGUAGGUGAGGUAAUGGCUCACCUAGGCGACGAUACAUAGCCGACCUGAGAGGGUGAUCGGCCACACUGGGACUGAGACACGGCCCAGACUCCUACGGGAGGCAGCAGUAGGGAAUCUUCGGCAAUGGGGGCAACCCUGACCGAGCAACGCCGCGUGAGUGAAGAAGGUUUUCGGAUCGUAAAGCUCUGUUGUAAGUCAAGAACGGGUGUGAGAGUGGAAAGUUCACACUGUGACGGUAGCUUACCAGAAAGGGACGGCUAACUACGUGCCAGCAGCCGCGGUAAUACGUAGGUCCCGAGCGUUGUCCGGAUUUAUUGGGCGUAAAGCGAGCGCAAGCGGUUUGAUAAGUCUGAAGUUAAAGGCUGUGGCUCAACCAUAGUUCGCUUUGGAAACUGUCAAACUUGAGUGCAGAAGGGGAGAGUGGAAUUCCAUGUGUAGCGGUGAAAUGCGUAGAUAUAUGGAGGAACACCGGUGGGCGAAAGCGGCUCUCUGGUCUGUAACUGACGCUGAGGCUCGAAAGCGUGGGGAGCGAACAGGAUUAGAUACCCUGGUAGUCCACGCCGUAAACGAUGAGUGCUAGGUGUUGGAUCCUUUCCGGGAUUCAGUGCCGCAGCUAACGCAUUAAGCACUCCGCCUGGGGAGUACGACCGCAAGGUUGAAACUCAAAGGAAUUGACGAGGGCCCGCACAAGCGGUGGAGCAUGUGGUUUAAUUCGAAGCAACGCGAAGAACCUUACCAGGUCUUGACAUCCCGAUGCUAUUUCUAGAGAUAGAAAGUUACUUCGGUACAUCGGUGACAGGUGGUGCAUGGUUGUCGUCAGCUCGUGUCGUGAGAUGUUGGGUUAAGUCCCGCAACGAGCGCAACCCCUAUUGUUAGUUGCCAUCAUUCAGUUGGGCACUCUAGCGAGACUGCCGGUAAUAAACCGGAGGAAGGUGGGGAUGACGUCAAAUCAUCAUGCCCCUUAUGACCUGGGCUACACACGUGCUACAAUGGUUGGUACAACGAGUUGCGAGUCGGUGACGGCGAGCUAAUCUCUUAAAGCCAAUCUCAGUUCGGAUUGUAGGCUGCAACUCGCCUACAUGAAGUCGGAAUCGCUAGUAAUCGCGGAUCAGCACGCCGCGGUGAAUACGUUCCCGGGCCU